AGUGUGGUGAACUGAACAGUGGCCCCAAAGAUAUCCAGGUCCUGAUCUCUGGAACCUGCGAAUAUUACCUUACUUGGCAAAAGAGACCUUAGGUGACUAAGGAUAUGGACCUUGAGAUGGGGCCAUUAUCCUGGAGUUUCUGGGUGGACCCUAAAUGUAAUCACAAAGAUCCUCCUAAGAAGGAGGCAGAGUGGGAUAUGACAACAAAAGAGGUGAAGGAAUUUGACUAUGGCAGCAGAGAUUUGAAUGGUUGAUUUGUGGGCAGCUACCAGAAACUGGAAGAAACAAGCAGAAGUUUCUUCCCUGGGGCCUCCGGAAGAAACCAGUCCUGCUGACACCUUGAUUUUGGCUCUGUAAGACUCUGGCCUCCAGCCUCCUGGACUUCUGGCCUCCAGAACAUAACGUUGAUGGGAAGUGGAGACAGAGGGCAUCCUGACCUUGUCUUGUUCCUGAUUGUGGUAGCCGGCCUCCAAGGUGGCCCCCGAGCAUCCUUGCCUACCUGUGAGGACAUUUUAGGACAUAAAAGGCGUAGUGGCAUCUGUCUCUCUCUCUUGGAAACUAGUUCUAGGGGGAACCAGCCGUCAUCUUGUGAGGAGAGGUCCACGUUGUGAGAAGCCGAGGACUCCGGCGAGUACAGCCCUGAGGCCUCCUGCUAACAGCCACAGGAGCGACUCUGAAGAUCCUCCAGCCCAGACGAGCCUUCAGAUGCCUGCGUCCCAGCUGACUUCUGGACGGCAGCCCAAUGAAAGACCCAGAGCCACCCAGUUAAGUACUGCCGAGUUCCUGAUGCACAGAAUCCAUGAGAUAAUACAGGCUUGUUGUUUUAAUCCACUAGGUGUUGAGGUAAUUUGCUACACAGCAAUAAAUCACUGAUCUCAAAGGAAACAUUUUCAGCAUUUCACCACUAACAAGAUGUUUGCUGUUCGUGCUUGGGAGGCCCCCUUCAUCGUAUUAAGAAAGUCUUGUUUAUUCCUCGUUUGCUAAGAGUUUAGUGUAUCAUAAAUGGAUGCUGAAUUUUAUUGAAUAUCUCUCCUGUAGCUAAUGAGAUGAUCUAUGGUUUUGCUUGUUUGGUUUGUUAAUGUGGUAAAUUCAUUAACUGAUAUUUUUUUAAAGUUAAACUUAGCUUGUAUUGCUAAAAUAAUAUUAUAAGCACAACCUGGACAUGGUGAAUCAUUCUUUUUUAUAUAUUGCUAGAUUCAACUUCCUAAUAUUUUGUUUAGAAUUUUUGUCAUUGUUCGUGAAUGAGAUUUACCUGUAAUUUUUCUUCCUCAUAUUGUCUUCCUCAGGCUUUUGUAUCAAGAUUAUGUAUUUAGGGGCCGGCCUGGUGGCGCAGCGGUUAAGUUUGCCCAUUCUUCUUUGGUGGCCCAGAGUUCGCUGGUUUGGAUCCCAGGUGCGGACAUGGCGCUGCUUGUUAAGCCAUGCUGUGGCAGGCGUCCCACAUAUAAAGUAGAGGAAGAUGGGCACGAUGUUAGCUCAGGGCUGGUCUUCCUCAGCAAAAAGAGGAGAUUUGGUGGCAGAUGUUAGCUCAGGGCUAAUAUUCCUCAAAAAAACAAACAAAAAAUUAUGUAUUUUGUGGUUUUUAUGAUGUAGUCAAUCUUGUGCAGCCACAAAAGGAGACAGAAGAGAGGCUCAGGAAAAGAAAGUUUAUUAAAUAACUCACAGGUCCUAGAGACAAGAAGCACACGGGAAGGACACCAGGGUGGUGAGGGGAAGACAGUGGGGUAGAGGGAGAUUUGGGUCACAGCCUUUAUGGGGGUUUCUUCAGGAAAGGGCAGGCAGGGCAGGGUGAACAAUUUAAGACUGGUUAUUUUGAAUAAUUUCAGCUGGCUUUGGGCUAUUGGGGUGGUUCCUAGUUGCCUGGCACCUGGCCCUGGGAGGAUUAAGAGAGAGGAAUAUUGCCUCCUGGGGGGCAAGAAAAGAUAGAGGCGGUAUGGCUCUGGACUGUGCCCUCGGCUGUCUCUAAGAAUUGUCUCUCUCUGGCCAGAAAGGUUUUUUUUAGGAUGUCAAAACAAUAUAUAGAAAAAAUUUUAAAUAUACAUUUACAAUACAUUGUACCAUAUACAAUACAUUGUAUGCAUAGUAUAAUACUAGCCUCAAUAUGAGUUGGCAAAUGUAAUUACUUCUGUUCUCUGAAAGAGUUUGUGUAGAGAGACCUCAUUUCUUCUGUAAAUGUUUGAUACAAGCCGUUGAUGAAGCCGUGUGGGCCCGGAACACGCUUUGGGGGAAAUUUUUGGCUAUGUUUCAAUUCUUUUAAGUUGUUGGUCUCUUCAGAAUUCCUGUUUCUUCUUGGAUAAAAUGUUGUGAAUUGUCUUUUUCCCCCUGGGGAAUUUAUCCGUUUCGUAAAAAUUUUCAAAUGCUUCAGCAUCAAGUUCAUAAUGUCCCCUUGGUUUCUUUUUAGGUUCUGCAAGGGCUAUAGUAAUGCCCUGUUUUUCAUUCCUGAUAGGGUUCAUUUGUGCCUUCUCUUUCUUUUUUUGUUUUUCAUCUCACCGAAGGUUUAUAAAUUUCAGUAGUCUUCUCAAAGUAUCAACAUGCGUUUUAUUUUUAUUCUAUUUUGUGUAUGUUUUCAAUUAUCUUUGUUAUUUCCUUCUUUCUAAUUUCAUCAAGUUUAAUUUGCUAUUCUUUUUCUACUUUUUUGAUGCAUGUUUAGUUCAUUAAUUUUCAGCUUUUCUUCUUUUCUAAAGUAACUAUGUAAGGCUAUAAAUUUCCCUCAAAAGAACAGCUUGUAUCCAACACUUUUUGAUGUGUAAUAUUUUUAAAUUAUUGUGUUCAGACUUCUAAAUUUCAUUAUAAUUUCUGCUUUGACCCAUCGAUUAUUUAGAAGUAUAUUGUUUUAUUUCCAAACAUAUGGGGUUUUCUAGCUAUCCUUUUGUUUUAGAUUUCUAGCAUAAUUGCAGCAUGGCUAAAGAAUAAAUUCUGAAUGACUUCAAUCCUUUGGACUUGUUGAAACUAGCUUUAUGGCUUAGUAUAUGGGUGAUUAUUGUAGAAACUAUAUAUUUGUUUGAAAAGAAUGUGUAUUUUGCAGUUUUUCAGGUAUAAUAUUCUAUACAUUUAUUUGGUAAAAUUAGUUAAUAGUGUUAUAUAAAUCUCCUAGAUCUUUACCGAUUUUCUUUUCUACUGAAAGAGUGUGUGAAAAUCUCCACUACAAUCAGCUAUUUGUUUAUUUUAAUUUUUGCUUUGAAUACAUUGAGGUCAUGUUAUUAGUGCAACAAAUUCAGACUUGUUUUAUCUUCC
ensembl:lncRNA